rfam:Schistosoma mattheei strain Denwood, Zambia genome assembly, scaffold: SMTD_contig0008166
GCACUUCUGACGAGUCCCAUACCAGGACGAAACGACCGUCCAGUCC